GGAUGCGAUCAUACCAACUCACAUGCACCGGAUCCCAUCGUAACUCCCGGGUUAAGCAAGUUUGGGUUUGGGCGAGUAGUACUAGGAUGGGUGACCUCCUCGGAAGUCCUCGUGUUGCAUCCC
rnacentral:rRNA from 1 species